rnacentral:rRNA from 1 species
GGUUAAGCGACUAAGCGUACACGGUGGAUGCCCUGGCAGUCAGAGGCGAUGAAGGACGUGCUAAUCUGCGAAAAGCGCCGGCGAGGUGAUAUGAACCCUUGACCCGGCGAUGUCCGAAUGGGGAAACCCAGUGCAAUCCGUUGCACUAUCGUUAACUGAAUACAUAGGUUAACGAGGCGAACCGGGGGAACUGAAACAUCUAAGUACCCCGAGGAAAAGAAAUCAACCGAGAUUCCCCCAGUAGCGGCGAGCGAACGGGGAGCAGCCCGGAGUCUGAAUCAGCUUGUGUGUUAGUGGAACGGUCUGGAAAGUCCGACGGUACAGGGUGAUAGUCCCGUACACGAAAGCACACUUGCUGUGAACUCGAAGAGUAGGGCGGGACACGUGGUAUCCUGUCUGAAUAUGGGGGGACCAUCCUCCAAGGCUAAAUACUCCUGACUGACCGAUAGUGAACCAGUACCGUGAGGGAAAGGCGAAAAGAACCCCGGCGAGGGGAGUGAAAAAGAACCUGAAACCGUGUACGUACAAGCAGUGGGAGCCUACUUGUUAGGUGACUGCGUACCUUUUGUAUAAUGGGUCAGCGACUUAUAUUCUGUAGCAAGGUUAACCGUAUAGGGGAGCCGAAGGGAAACCGAGUCUUAACUGGGCGUUAAGUUGCAGGGUAUAGACCCGAAACCCGGUGAUCUAGCCAUGGGCAGGUUGAAGGUUGGGUAACACUAACUGGAGGACCGAACCGACUAAUGUUGAAAAAUUAGCGGAUGACCUGUGGCUGGGGGUGAAAGGCCAAUCAAACCGGGAGAUAGCUGGUUCUCCCCGAAAGCUAUUUAGGUAGCGCCUCGUGAACUCAUCUUCGGGGGUAGAGCACUGUUUCGGCUAGGGGGCCAUCCCGGCUUACCAACCCGAUGCAAACUACGAAUACCGAAGAAUGUUAUCACGGGAGACACACGGCGGGUGCUAACGUCCGUCGUGAAGAGGGAAACAACCCAGACCGCCAGCUAAGGUCCCAAAGUCAUGGUUAAGUGGGAAACGAUGUGGGAAGGCACAGACAGCCAGGAUGUUGGCUUAGAAGCAGCCAUCAUUUAAAGAAAGCGUAAUAGCUCACUGGUCGAGUCGGCCUGCGCGGAAGAUGUAACGGGGCUAAACCAUGCACCGAAGCUGCGGCAGCGACACUAUGUGUUGUUGGGUAGGGGAGCGUUCUGUAAGCCGUUGAAGGUGUGCUGUGAGGCAUGCUGGAGGUAUCAGAAGUGCGAAUGCUGACAUAAGUAACGAUAAAGCGGGUGAAAAGCCCGCUCGCCGGAAGACCAAGGGUUCCUGUCCAACGUUAAUCGGGGCAGGGUGAGUCGACCCCUAAGGCGAGGCCGAAAGGCGUAGUCGAUGGGAAACAGGUUAAUAUUCCUGUACUUGGUGUUACUGCGAAGGGGGGACGGAGAAGGCUAUGUCAGCCGGGCGACGGUUGUCCCGGUUUAAGCAUGUAGGCGGAGGUUCCAGGUAAAUCCGGUACCUUUUAACGCUGAGGUGUGAUGACGAGGCACUACGGUGCUGAAGUGAUAAAUGCCCUGCUUCCAGGAAAAGCCUCUAAGCAUCAGGUAACACGAAAUCGUACCCCAAACCGACACAGGUGGUCAGGUAGAGAAUACCAAGGCGCUUGAGAGAACUCGGGUGAAGGAACUAGGCAAAAUGGUGCCGUAACUUCGGGAGAAGGCACGCUGAUGUGUAGGUGAAGCCCCUGCGGGCGGAGCUGAAAUCAGUCGAAGAUACCAGCUGGCUGCAACUGUUUAUUAAAAACACAGCACUGUGCAAACACGAAAGUGGACGUAUACGGUGUGACGCCUGCCCGGUGCCGGAAGGUUAAUUGAUGGGGUUAGCUGUAAGGCGAAGCUCUUGAUCGAAGCCCCGGUAAACGGCGGCCGUAACUAUAACGGUCCUAAGGUAGCGAAAUUCCUUGUCGGGUAAGUUCCGACCUGCACGAAUGGCGUAAUGAUGGCCAGGCUGUCUCCACCCGAGACUCAGUGAAAUUGAACUCGCUGUGAAGAUGCAGUGUACCCGCGGCAAGACGGAAAGACCCCGUGAACCUUUACUAUAGCUUGACACUGAACACUGGUCCUUGAUGUGUAGGAUAGGUGGGAGGCUUUGAAGCGUGGACGCCAGUCUGCGUGGAGCCAACCUUGAAAUACCACCCUUUAAUGGCUGGUGUUCUAACGUAGACCCGUAAUCCGGGUUGCGGACAGUGUCUGGUGGGUAGUUUGACUGGGGCGGUCUCCUCCCAAAGAGUAACGGAGGAGCACGAAGGUUGGCUAAUCCUGGUCGGACAUCAGGAGGUUAGUGCAAUGGCAUAAGCCAGCUUGACUGCGAGCGUGACGGCGCGAGCAGGUGCGAAAGCAGGUCAUAGUGAUCCGGUGGUUCUGAAUGGAAGGGCCAUCGCUCAACGGAUAAAAGGUACUCCGGGGAUAACAGGCUGAUACCGCCCAAGAGUUCAUAUCGACGGCGGUGUUUGGCACCUCGAUGUCGGCUCAUCACAUCCUGGGGCUGAAGUAGGUCCCAAGGGUAUGGCUGUUCGCCAUUUAAAGUGGUACGCGAGCUGGGUUUAGAACGUCGUGAGACAGUUCGGUCCCUAUCUGCCGUGGGCGCUGGAGAAUUGAGGGGGGCUGCUCCUAGUACGAGAGGACCGGAGUGGACGCAUCACUGGUGUUCGGGUUGUCAUGCCAAUGGCACUGCCCGGUAGCUAAAUGCGGAAGAGAUAAGUGCUGAAAGCAUCUAAGCACGAAACUUGCCCCGAGAUGAGUUCUCCCUGAGACCCUGAGUCUCCUGAAGGAACGUUGAAGACGACGACGUUGAUAGGUCGGGUGUGUAAGCGCAGCGAUGCGUUGAGCUAACCGAUACUAAUGAACCGUGAGGCUUAACCUU